rnacentral:rRNA from 1 species
GAACGAUGAAGCCCAGCUUGCUGGGUGGAUUAGUGGCGAACGGGUGAGUAACACGUGAGCAACCUGCCCCUGACUCUGGGAUAAGCGCUGGAAACGGCGUCUAAUACUGGAUAUGUCCCGUCACCGCAUGGUGUGCGGGUGGAAAGAUUUUUCGGUUGGGGAUGGGCUCGCGGCCUAUCAGCUUGUUGGUGAGGUAAUGGCUCACCAAGGCGUCGACGGGUAGCCGGCCUGAGAGGGUGACCGGCCACACUGGGACUGAGACACGGCCCAGACUCCUACGGGAGGCAGCAGUGGGGAAUAUUGCACAAUGGGCGGAAGCCUGAUGCAGCAACGCCGCGUGAGGGAUGACGGCCUUCGGGUUGUAAACCUCUUUUAGCAGGGAAGAAGCGAGAGUGACGGUACCUGCAGAAAAAGCACCGGCUAACUACGUGCCAGCAGCCGCGGUAAUACGUAGGGUGCAAGCGUUAUCCGGAAUUAUUGGGCGUAAAGAGCUCGUAGGCGGUCUGUCGCGUCUGCUGUGAAAUCCCGAGGCUCAACCUCGGGCUUGCAGUGGGUACGGGCAGACUAGAGUGCGGUAGGGGAGAUUGGAAUUCCUGGUGUAGCGGUGGAAUGCGCAGAUAUCAGGAGGAACACCGAUGGCGAAGGCAGAUCUCUGGGCCGUAACUGACGCUGAGGAGCGAAAGGGUGGGGAGCAAACAGGCUUAGAUACCCUGGUAGUCCACCCCGUAAACGUUGGGAACUAGUUGUGGGGUCCUUUCCACGGAUUCCGUGACGCAGCUAACGCAUUAAGUUCCCCGCCU